rnacentral:rRNA from 1 species
ACGGCGAGUGAAGCGGCAACAGCUCAAAUUUGAAAUCUGACUCCUUUGGGGUCCGAGUUGUAAUUUGCAGAGGGUGCUUUGGCGUUGGCUGUGGUCUAAGUUCCUUGGAACAGGACGUCACAGAGGGUGAGAAUCCCGUACGUGGCCGCCAGCCUCCGCCGUGUAAAGCCCCUUCGACGAGUCGAGUUGUUUGGGAAUGCAGCUCUAAAUGGGAGGUAAAUUUCUUCUAAAGCUAAAUAUCUGCCAGAGACCGAUAGCGCACAAGUAGAGUGAUCGAAAGAUGAAAAGCACUUUGGAAAGAGAGUCAAAAAGCACGUGAAAUUGUUGAAAGGGAAGCGCUUGCAGCUAGACGUGCCUCUGGAUGAUCAGCCGGGCUUCUGCCCGGUGCACUCUUCCUCUGGCAGGCCAGCAUCAGUUUGGGCGGCUGGAUAAAGGUCUGUUAAACGUGACUCCCCUCGGGGAGAGCUUAUAGGGCAGACGACAUGCAGCCAGCCCGGACUGAGGUCCGCGCAUCUGCUAGGAUGCUGGCGUAAUAGCUGUAAGCGGCCCGUCUUGAAACACGGACCAAGGAGUCUAACAUCUAUGCGAGUGUUUGGGUGUCAAGCCCGAGCGCGCAAUGAAAGUGAACGGAGGUGGGAACCCUUUGGGUGCACCAUCGACCGAUCCCGACGUCUUCUGAUGGAUUUGAGUAAGAGCAUAGCUGUUGGGACCCGAAAGAUGGUGAACUAUGCCUGAAUAGGGUGAAGCCAGAGGAAACUCUGGUGGAGGCUCGCAGCGGUUCUGACGUGCAAAUCGAUCGUCAAAUUUGGGCAUAGGGGCGAAAGACUAAUCGAACUAUCUAGUAGCUGGUUCCUGCCGAAGUUUCCCUCAGGAUAGCAGUAACGUUUUCAGUUUUAUGAGGUAAAGCGAAUGAUUAGAGGCCUGGGGGUUGAAACAACCUUCACCUAUUCUCAAACUUUAAAUAUGUAAGAAGUCCUUGUUACUUAGCUGAACGUGGACAUUUGAAUGUAUCGUUACUAGUGGGCCAUUUUUGGUAAGCAGAACUGGCGAUGCGGGAUGAACCGAACGUNGGGUUAAGGUGCCAGAAUGCACGCUCAUCAGA